UACGGGGGGGACGCAAGCGUUAUCCGGAAUUACUGGGCGUAAAGGGCGCGUAGGCGGUCGUGACAAGUCACUUGUGAAAUCUCCGGGCUUAACUCGGAACGGUCAAGUGAUACUGUCGGACUAGAGUACAGAAGGGGCAACUGGAAUUCUCGGUGUAGCGGUGAAAUGCGUAGAUAUUGGGAGGAACACCAGUGGCGAAGGCGGCUCACUGGACCGGUACUGACGCUGAGGCGCG
rnacentral:rRNA from 1 species